rnacentral:rRNA from 1 species
UACAGAGGUCUCAAGCGUUGUUCGGAUUCAUUGGGCGUAAAGGGUGCGUAGGCGGCGCGGUAAGUCGGGUGUGAAAUCUCGGGGCUUAACUCCGAAACUGCAUUCGAUACUGCCGUGCUUGAGGACUGGAGAGGAGACUGGAAUUUACGGUGUAGUGGUGGAAUGCGUAGAUAUCGGGAGGAACACCAGUGGCGAAGGCGGUUGCCUGGAGCUUUGCUGACGCUCAGACACGAAAGCAUGGGGAGCGAACGGG